GGGUCGUUAACUCAGUGGUAGAGUAUCUGCCUUUUAAGCAGAGAGCCGUGGGUUCAAGUCCCGCACGACCCACCA
rnacentral:tRNA from 1 species